ensembl:misc_RNA 7SK 7SK RNA
GGAUGUGAGGGCGAUCUGGCUGCGACAUCUGUCACCCCACUGAUCGCCAGGGUUGAUUCGGCUGAUCUGGCUGGCUAGGCGGGUGUCCCCUUCCUCCCUCACCGCUCCAUGUGCGUCCCUCCCGAAGCUGCACGCUCGGUCGAAGAGGACGACCUUCCCCGAAUAGAGGAGGACCGGUCUUCGGUCAAGGGUAUACGAGUAGCUGCGCUCCCCUACUAGAACCUCCAAACAAGCUCUCAAGUUCUUAGCCACUGUUCCAGUGCCAUGCCUGCCUGCUGCCAUGCUCCCAACCAUGAGAGUCAUGGAUUCUACUC